rnacentral:rRNA from 1 species
GACGAACGCUGGCGGCGUGCUUAACACAUGCAAGUCGAACGGUAAGGCCCUUCGGGGUACACGAGUGGCGAACGGGUGAGUAACACGUGGGUGAUCUGCCCUGCACUUCGGGAUAAGCCUGGGAAACUGGGUCUAAUACCGGAUAGGACCCUGGGAUGCAUGCUCUGGGGUGGAAAGCUUUUGCGGUGUGGGAUGGGCCCGCGGCCUAUCAGCUUGUUGGUGGGGUGAUGGCCUACCAAGGCGACGACGGGUAGCCGGCCUGAGAGGGUGACCGGCCACACUGGGACUGAGAUACGGCCCAGACUCCUACGGGAGGCAGCAGUGGGGAAUAUUGCACAAUGGGCGCAAGCCUGAUGCAGCGACGCCGCGUGAGGGAUGACGGCCUUCGGGUUGUAAACCUCUUUCAGCACCGACGAAGCGCAAGUGACGGUAGGUGCAGAAGAAGGACCGGCCAACUACGUGCCAGCAGCCGCAGUAA